rnacentral:rRNA from 1 species
ACGCUCGACACCUACGGGAGGCAGCAGUGGGAAUAUUGCACAAUGGGGGAAACCCUGAUGCAGCGACGCCGCGUGAGCGAAGAAGUAUUUCGGUAUGUAAAGCUCUAUCAGCAGGGAAGAAAGUGACGGUACCUGACUAAGAAGCACCGGCUAAAUACGUGUCAGCAGCCGCGGUAAUCUGAGCGGGCUGGCAAGGC